AUUGAACGCUGGCGGCAGGCCUAACACAUGCAAGUCGAGCGGAUGAAGGGAGCUUGUUCCUGGUUUUAGCGGCGGACGGGUGAGAGAUGCCUAGGAAUCUGCCUGGCUUUGGUUGAUGAUGUCCUGAAACGGGUGCUAAUAAUGCAUACGAGCUGAGGGUGCUAGCGGGGGAGCUUUGGACCUCUUGCUAUCUGAUGAGCGUAGGUCGGAUUUGCUAGUUGGUGGGGUAAAGGCCUACCUAGGCGACGAUGCGUAACUGGUCUGAGAGGAUGGUCAGUCACACUGGAACUGAGACACGGUCCAGACUCCUACGGGAGGCAGCAGUGGGGAAUAUUGGACAAUGGGCGGAAGCCUGCUCCAGCCAGGCCGCGUGUGUGAAGAAGGUCUUCGGAUUGUAAAGCACUUUAAGUUGGGAGGAAGGGCAGUAAGUUAAUACCUAGCUGUUUUGACGUUACCAACAGAAUAAGCACCGGCUAACUUCGUG
rnacentral:rRNA from 1 species